rnacentral:rRNA from 1 species
AUGGCUGUCGUCAGCUCGUGUCGUGAGAUGUUGGGUUAAGUCCCGCAACGAGCGCAACCCUUGUCCUUAGUUGCCAGCAUUAGGUUGGGCACUCUAAGGAGACUGCCGGUGAUAAGCCGGAGGAAGGUGGGGAUGACGUCAAGUCCUCAUGGCCCUUACGCGCUGGGCUACACACGUGCUACAAUGGGCAGUACAGAGGGAAGCGAGACCGCGAGGUGGAGCGGAUCCCUUAAAGCUGUUCGUAGUCCGGAUCGGAGUCUGCAACUCGACUCCGUGAAGUCGGAAUCGCUAGUAAUCGCAGGUCAGCAUACUGCGGUGAAUACGUUCCCGGGCCUUGUACACACCGCCCGUGGGGCGGGGGCGGCGGGCCGGGCGCGGGGCGCGGCGGGCG